AAUGAACGUUGGCGGCGUGGAUUAGGCAUGCAAGUCGAGCGAGAAUUUGCGAUUGGAAGCUUCGGCCGAAGAAAGUGAAGGAAAGCGGCAAACGGCGUAGUAAGGCGUAGGUACGUACCCUCGGGUCGGGAAUAGCCAUGGGAAACUGUGGGUAAUGCCCGAUAAUCUCUGCGGAGCAAAGGUGUGAUUCCGCCGGAGGAGCGGCUUACGUGAUAUUAGCUAGUUGGUGGGUAAUAGCCUAACCAAGGCAACGAUGUCGUAGGGGGUGUGAGAGCAUCGGCCCCCACGACCGGAACUGAGACACUGUCCGGACACCUACGGGUGGCUGCAGUCGAGAAUCUUCCGCAAUGGGACGAAAGCCUGACGGAGCGACGCCGCGUGGUGGAUGAAGGCCCUUGGGUUGUAAACACCUGUCAGAGGGGAUAGAAAUCAUGGUUGGCAAUCCUUCCAUGUUGACAGAGCCUCAGAGGAAGCACGGG
rnacentral:rRNA from 1 species